UUAAACAAUAUAAUAUCUUAAGUUUCAUUGAAUUAAAAAUUAAAUAAGCUUUACAUAACAAAAUCUUUUUGCAAUCUAGUCGAUAAUUCGAUAAUUUUUUUUUCUUAGAAAAAAAAAAUGGGACAAUUUCAAUCAUUUUAUUUUCUAAUACUAUGAAGUUGGGUCAAUGAAGGCAUAGAUUGAUUUGAAGUCUCUGGUGUAUCAAAGCUUUGGUAAUGGUGUCGGCAAUCACGCAAAGCCAGUCGCCUUCAGUAAUUUACAUAGCAAACAGUGGCGACGACUCAUACAUCCUUCAUAAACGAAUGGAAGAACAUGUCCCAGCUAAAACAGAUACACGCACAAACAUUGCAUUGAGGACCCAAUUUCUUUGAUGUGGAAUUCUCUAAACAGGCAAUGUGAAUAGCAUUGAGCGGAAAGAGCAAGCAAUGGUGCUUUACCAUGGAAUGUUGUUGAAAGGAACUUUUUUUUCCUAUAAAUACAAUUUUUCGUUUGU